rnacentral:rRNA from 1 species
AUUGAACGCUGGCGGCAUGCCUUACACAUGCAAGUCGAACGGUAACAGGUCUCCGGAUGCUGACGAGUGGCGAGCGGGUGAGUAAUACAUCGGAACGUGCCCGAGAGUGGGGGAUAACUAAGCGAAAGCUUUGCUAAUACCGCAUACGAUCUCAGGAUGAAAGCAGGGGACCGCAAGGCCUUGCGCUCACGGAGCGGCCGAUGGCAGAUUAGGUAGUUGGUGGGUUAAAAGCUUACCAAGCCUACGAUCUGUAGCUGGUCUGAGAGGACGACCAGCCACACUGGGACUGAGACACGGCCCAGACUCCUACGGGAGGCAGCAGUGGGGAAUUUUGGACAAUGGGCGCAAGCCUGAUCCAGCCAUGCCGCGUGCAGGAUGAAGGCCUUCGGGUUGUAAAGCACUUUUGUCCGGAAAGAAAUCGCGCUGGUUAAUACCUGGCGUGGAUGACGGUACCGGAAGAAUAAGCACCGGCUAACUACGUGCCAGCCGCCGCGGUAACAC